rnacentral:lncRNA from 1 species
AGGGUCUCAGUAAAGCAAAAGUAGUCUUAGCCCAACGAUCAAUCGAUGUUUGGUUGAUACAUGGUGCGUAUUGUUAGUGAGCUGAAAAGAAAGAGUGAGUGAGAUUUUGGAGGGAAACAAAAUGCUUAUACUAAACGAUCUGAACAGCUCACAGCUGUCAUGAUGCAAGCCAUGAAGCCAAUAGUUUAAGACGGAUGUUGAUAAGUGUCAUGGCGCAAGCCGAUGGUGUAAGA